rnacentral:rRNA from 1 species
CAGCAGCCGCGGGAAUACGAAGGGGGCUAGCGUUGCUCGGAAUUACUGGGCGUAAAGCGUGCGCAGGCGGUUAUGCAAGACAGAGGUGAAAUCCCCGGGCUCAACCUGGGAACUGCCUUUGUGACUGCAUAGCUAGAGUGCGGCAGAGGGGGAUGGAAUUCCGCGUGUAGCAGUGAAAUGCGUAGAUAUGCGGAGGAACACCGAUGGCGAAGGCAAUCCCCUGGGCCUGCACUGACGCUCAUGCACGAAAGCGUGGGGAGCAAACAGGAUUAGAUACCCCAGUAGUCCCUGUCUCUUAUAC